rnacentral:rRNA from 1 species
GCCAGCCCGCUCAGAAACUCAAAGGGAAUUGACGGGGCCGCACAAGCGGUGGAGUAUGUGGUUUAAUUCGAUGCAACGCGAAGAACCUUACCUGGUCUUGACAUCCCGGAGACCCUUAGGAAACUAGGGGGUGCUUCCAUCUGGAAGAAUCUGGAGACAGGUGCUGCAUGGCUGUCGUCAGCUCGUGUCGUGAGAUGUUGGGUUAAGUCCCGCAACGAGCGCAACCCUUGCCUUUAGUUGCCAGCAGUUCGGCUGGGCACUCUAAAGGGACUGCCGGUGUUAAACCGGAGGAAGGUGGGGAUGACGUCAAGUCCUCAUGGCCUUUAUGACCAGGGCUACACACGUACUACAAUGGCCGAUACAAAGGGCAGCGACACUGCGAGGUGAAGCCAAUCCCGUAAAAUCGGUCUCAGUCCGGAUUGGAGUCUGCAACUCGACUCCAUGAAGUUGGAAUCGCUAGUAAUCGUGGAUCAGCAUGCCACGGUGAAUACGUUCCCGGGCCUU